GGCUCAGGAUGAACGCUAGCGGCAGGCUUAAUACAUGCAAGUCGUGGGGCAGCAGGUUUGUAGCAAUACAGAUGCUGGCGACCAGCAAACGGGUGCGGAACACGUACAGAACCUUCCUUUGAGCGGGGAAUAGCCCAGAGAAAUUUGGAUUAAUACCCCAUAGUAUAAUGAAGUGGCAUCACUUUAUUAUUAAAGAUUUAUCACUCGAAGAUGGCUGUGCGGCUGAUUAGGUAGUUGGCGGGGUAAAGGCCCACCAAGCCUGCGAUCAGUAACUGGUGUGAGAGCACGACCAGUCACACGGGCACUGAGACACGGGCUCGACUCCUACGGGAGGCAGCAGUAAGGAAUAUUGGUCAAUGGAGGCAACUCUGAACCAGCCAUGCCGCGUGGAGGAUGAAGGUCCUCUGGAUUGUAAACUUCUUUUAUAUGGGACGAAAAAGGCUUUCUAAGUCGUCUGACGGUACCAUAUGAAUAAGCACCGGCUAACUCCGUG
rnacentral:rRNA from 1 species